rnacentral:rRNA from 1 species
AUUGGACGCUGGCGGCAUGCCUUACACAUGCAAGUCGAACGGCAGCACGGGAGCAAUCCUGGUGGCGAGUGGCGAACGGGUGAGUAAAGUAUCGGAACGUGCCCAGUCGUGGGGGAUAACGUAGCGAAAGUUACGCUAAUACCGCAUACGAUCUAUGGAUGAAAGCGGGGGAUCGCAAGACCUCGCGCGAUUGGAGCGGCCGAUAUCAGAUUAGGGAGUUGGUGGGGUAAAGGCUCACCAAGCCGACGAUCUGUAGCUGGUCUGAGAGCGACGACCAGCCACACUGGGACUGAGACACGGCCCAGACUCCUACGGGAGGCAGCAGUGGGGAAUUUUGGACAAUGGGCGAAAGCCUGAUCCAGCCAUGCCGCGUGCAGGAUGAAGGCCUUCGGGUUGUAAACUGCUUUUGUACGGAACGAAAAGGUUUGGCCUAAUAAGCUGAGCUCAUGACGGUACCGUAAGAAUAAGCACCGGCUAACUACGUGCCAGCCGCCGCAGUAA